rnacentral:tRNA from 1 species
GGUGCGGUGGCUGAGUGGUAAAGCACUUGGCUUCCGAACCGAGAAUCCCGGGUUCGAAUCCAGGUGAAUCU